AUGAGUCUUUCGUUGCACAAUUUGUCUUGUUUUUUUAUUAUGUCUUUAUCUUCAAAAUGAAGCCUAUAAGGAACCCAAGUUCCAUAUUUUCAUUCCUUAAUGCAUCAGUUAAAAAGGUUCCCACAGGAUCCUCUCCCCACAUCCUCUCUUCAUUUAUUUAUCUCCCUUUUCUUCUUUUCAGUGUUCAUGUGUGAUAGAUCAGUAUCCACUUUAAAGUGAAAAGCUUUGUAGUUUCAUUUAAUGAUGGCUGUUGACCUACACAACUGUGAGUUAUUGCUUUCCUCGAAGCUUUACACUCCUCGAGAAGAUCACUUUAGAUCCGAGUUGAGUUCACCUAUUGGGUCUGAUCAGCUGAGUUCGAGCUCCACAGAGAGCAGCCAGGAGGAAGAAGAAGAAGACUAUUACAUUGGUGAGUUGACUCGACAGAUGGCUCAGUACAUGCUUCCUGACGAAGAUAACGUUGGAAAGGCAUGGGAUUUGUCUGGUUCACCAGAAUCAACUUUGUGGUCACAGUUUGGCUCGAACCUUAAU